GCUGGCGGCGUGCCUAAUACAUGCAAGUCGAGCGAGCAGAACCAGCAGAUUUACUUCGGUAAUGACGCUGGGGACGCGAGCGGCGGAUGGGUGAGUAACACGUGGGGAACCUGCCCCAUAGUCUGGGAUACCACUUGGAAACAGGUGCUAAUACCGGAUAAGAAAGCAGAUCGCAUGAUCAGCUUAUAAAAGGCGGCGUAAGCUGUCGCUAUGGGAUGGCCCCGCGGUGCAUUAGCUAGUUGGUAAGGUAACGGCUUACCAAGGCAAUGAUGCAUAGCCGAGUUGAGAGACUGAUCGGCCACAUUGGGACUGAGACACGGCCCAAACUCCUACGGGAGGCAGCAGUAGGGAAUCUUCCACAAUGGACGCAAGUCUGAUGGAGCAACGCCGCGUGAGUGAAGAAGGUUUUCGGAUCGUAAAGCUCUGUUGUUGGUGAAGAAGGAUAGAGGUAGUAACUGGCCUUUAUUUGACGGUAAUCAACCAGAAAGUCACGGCUAACUACGUGCCAGCAGCCGCGGUAAUACGUAGGUGGCAAGCGUUGUCCGGAUUUAUUGGGCGUAAAGCGAGCGCAGGCGGAAGAAUAAGUCUGAUGUGAAAGCCCUCGGCUUAACCGAGGAACUGCAUCGGAAACUGUUUUUCUUGAGUGCAGAAGAGGAGAGUGGAAUUCCAUGUGUAGCGGUGGAAUGCGUAGAUAUAUGGAAGAACACCAGUGGCGAAGGCGACUCUCUGGUCUUGCAACUGACGCUGAGGCUCGAAAGCAUGGGUAGCGAACAGGAUUAGAUACCCUGGUAGUCCAUGCCGUAAACGAUGAGUGCUAAGUGUUGGGAGGUUUCCGCCUCUCAGUGCUGCAGCUAACGCAUUAAGCACUCCGCCUGGGGAGUACGACCGCAAGGUUGAAACUCAAAGGAAUUGACGGGGGCCCGCACAAGCGGUGGAGCAUGUGGUUUAAUUCGAAGCAACGCGAAGAACCUUACCAGGUCUUGACAUCUAGUGCCAUCCUAAGAGAUUAGGAGUUCCCUUCGGGGACGCUAAGACAGGUGGUGCAUGGCUGUCGUCAGCUCGUGUCGUGAGAUGUUGGGUUAAGUCCCGCAACGAGCGCAACCCUUGUUAUUAGUUGCCAGCAUUAAGUUGGGCACUCUAAUGAGACUGCCGGUGAUAAACCGGAGGAAGGUGGGGAUGACGUCAAGUCAUCAUGCCCCUUAUGACCUGGGCUACACACGUGCUACAAUGGACAGUACAACGAGAAGCAAGCCUGCGAAGGCAAGCGAAUCUCUGAAAGCUGUUCUCAGUUCGGACUGCAGUCUGCAACUCGACUGCACGAAGCUGGAAUCGCUAGUAAUCGCGGAUCAGAACGCCGCGGUGAAUACGUUCCCGGGCCUUGUACACACCGCCCGUCACACCAUGGAAGUCUGCAAUGCCCAAAGCCGGUGGCCUAACCUUCGGGAAGGAGCCGUCUAAGGCAGGGCAGAUGACUG
rnacentral:rRNA from 1 species